rnacentral:rRNA from 1 species
AAGCUCGUAGUUGAAUUUCGGCCUUUAGCGCCGGUCGUGCCUUCGGUAUGUACUGGUGUUACUGGUUCCUACCUUCUGACGAACCGUCAUGUCAUUGAUUUGGUGUGGCGGGGAAUCAGGACUGUUACUUUGAAAAAAUUAGAGUGUUUAAAGCAGGCUCGCGCUUGAAUACACUAGCAUGGAAUAAUGAAAUAGGACGUUCGAUCCUAUUUUGUUGGUUUCUAGGAUUGACGUAAUGAUUAAUAGGGAUAGUGGGGGGCAUUAGUAUUCAAUUGUCAGAGGUGAAAUUCUUGGAUUUAUUGAAGACUAACUACUGCGAAAGCAUUUGCCAAGGAUGUUUUCAUUAAUCAAGAACGAAAGUUAGGGGAUCGAAGACGAUCAGAUACCGUCGUAGUCUUAACCAUAAACUAUGCCGACUAGGGAUCGGAUGAUGUUAUUUUUAAUGACUCAUUCGGCGCCUUACGGGAAACCAAAGUGUUUGGGUUCCGGGGGGAGUAUGGUCGCAAGGCUGAAACUUAAAGGAAUUGACGGAAGGGCACCACCGGGGGUGGAGCCUGCGGCUUAAUUUGACUCAACACGGGGAAA